UGGGCAACCUGCCCUCAGCUCUGGGAUAACUCCGGGAAACCGGGGCUAAUACCGGAUACGACUUGGGUCGACAUCGACCUGGGUGGAAAGAAUUUCGGCUGAGGAUGGGCCCGCGGCCUAUCAUGCUUGAUGGUGAGGUAACGGCCCACCAUGGCGACGACGGGUAGCCGGCCUGAGAGGGCGACCGGCCACACUGGGACUGAGAUACGGCCCAGACUCCUACGGGAG
rnacentral:rRNA from 1 species